AAAGAGGAUGUGGGGCAGAGAGGAGAGAUUGAACCCUCCCAGAACUGGGGUCCCUGGAGAAGAGGCAAAACGACUCCGCAGAAGCCAAUCGGAGAUGUGAAGCUUCAGGAAGCGCCUGGGGCGCGGAGCCUGUGAAUGCGGAGCAGCAGCAGGCUCCCUGCAGGACCCCAGGGCGCAGAGCUGCCGCUGCUGGGGUCGGUGCCAAAAGAGAAGGCGGGAGCAGAAGGUGCUGGGGGGCCCAGGAGGGGCCCGCUAACGUGCUUCCUGUCCCCCCACCCCACGGCCGGCUCUUCAGGGGGAGCUGGGGGUGUCCCUGCUGGAGGACUUGUCUGCUUAACUGGGCUUAGUCUCAGCGCCUGCAGGCCUGUAUUCAUAUUCUGGUUUACACACUUGCAAGACGAAGACAGUUAUUUAGUUUUUUCAAAGAACAGUUCUGUCACCUGAAGUUACUAAAAUCAGUGGCAAGAUUUUUAAUAAAACUGAAAUUUAAUUUACG
ensembl:lncRNA